GAUUCUCCUGCCUCAGCUUCCUGAGUAGCUAGGAUUACAGGUGUGUGCCACCACGCCAGGCUAAUUUUGUAUUUUUAGUAGAGACAGGGUUUCACCAUGUUGGUCAGGCUGGUCUAGAACUCCUGACCUCAGGUGAUCCACCAGCCUCAGCCUCCCAAAGUGCUAGAAUUACAGGCAUAAGCCACUGUGCCCAGCCCCAUAUUUACUUUUCAUAGCCACCUUAAGACCUCCUCUGCCACGGCCAUGGCUAGAAUUUCACUAGCCUCUGGCACAAAGCAGUGGUGCCCAGGCAUAUGGCAGGGAUAAUGCUCUCCCAGCCAAAGUAGCAAUGUCAUCUCUUCUAUUCUUUCUUCUUCUCCCUCUAAGUCACUCAGCCCUAAACCAGGUGUGUUCCAAUUUCCUCUACUAUAUGUGCCUCAACCUUCUCUCAGCUCCAGAGAAGACAGGACCACCUUCCAAAGAAGAACUCUCUGCAGUGUCUGAGCUCCUGCAGCAUGGGCUGCCCCAGAUAAGCAGCAGGAGCCCUGAAAGCCUUGCCUUCCUGUCUGAUCGCCAGUACAUGGAGGGAGCUGCUCGCC
rnacentral:lncRNA from 10 species